GGAUUAGGCAUGCAAGUCGGACGGUAGGGCUUUAUCGUAAGAUAGAGUUUGAGAGUGGCGAACGGGUGAGUAACACGUAGGAAUCUACCCUUAAGACGGGGACAACCCAGGGAAACUUGGGCUAAUACCGGAUGAGAGUGCGAGAGAUUGCAUUUAAAAGGAUGGCGAAAGUUGUCGCUUAGGGAUGAGCCUGCGGUCUAUUAGUUAGUUGGUGAGGUAAGAGCUCACCAAGGCGAUGAUAGAUAGGCGGCCUUAACGGGUGGUCGCCCACACUGGGAUUGAGAUACGGCCCAGACUCCUACGGGAGGCAGCAGUCGAGAAUAGUCUACAAUGGCCGGAAGGCUGAUAGUGCGACGCCGCGUGAACGAGGGAGCCCUUCGGGGUGUAAAGUUCUUUUCUAUACGAGCAGUGCUAUAUAUAUGGAUAGUAUAUAUAGAGGGAUAGUAGUAUAGGAAUAAGCAACGGCUAACUCCGUGCCAGCAGCCGCGGUAACACGGGGGUUGCGAGCGUUGUCCGGAAUUACUAGGCGUAAAGGGCAGGUAGGCGGAUCUACGAGUUUUUUGUUAAAGGCUACGGCUCAACUGUAGUAGAGCAGGAGAUACUGUAGGUCUGGAAUGCGGUAGGGGAAGACAGAAUUCCUGGUGUAGCGGUGGAAUGCGCAGAGAUCAGGAGGAAUACCGAAGGCGAAGGCAGUCUUCUAGGCCGUAAUUGACGCUUAACUGCGAAGGUGUGGGGAUCAAACAGGAUUAGAUACCCUGGUAGUCCACACAGUAAACGAUAAUCACUAGAUGUCGGGUUCUAGAUGGAUUCGGUGUCGGAGCCAACGCGAUAAGUGAUUCGCCUGGGGAGUACGAUCGCAAGGUUGAAACUCAAAGGAAUUGACGG
rnacentral:rRNA from 1 species